CCUACGGGUGGCAGCAGUGGGGAAUAUUGGACAAUGGGCGAAAGCCUGAUCCAGCCAUGCCGCGUGUGUGAAGAAGGCCUUCGGGUUGUAAAGCACUUUCAGUGGGGAAGAAAGCCUUGGGGCUAAUACCCUCGAGGAAGGACAUCACCCACAGAAGAAGCACCGGCUAACUCCGUGCCAGCAGCCGCGGUAAUACGGAGGGUGCGAGCGUUAAUCGGAAUUACUGGGCGUAAAGCGCGCGUAGGCGGUCUGAUAAGCCGGUUGUGAAAGCCCCGGGCUCAACCUGGGAACGGCAUCCGGAACUGUCAGGCUAGAGUGCAGGAGAGGAGGGUAGAAUUCCCGGUGUAGCGGUGAAAUGCGUAGAGAUCGGGAGGAAUACCAGUGGCGAAGGCGGCCUACUGGACUGACACUGACGCUGAGGUGCGAAAGCGUGGGUAGCAAACAGGAUUAGAUACCCGUGUAGUC
rnacentral:rRNA from 1 species